rnacentral:misc_RNA from 1 species
CAUGGCGCAGGCGUGGCGGCGG